rnacentral:lncRNA from 1 species
GCCCCACGCUAAGCUCCUGCCUUGGCAAACAGCAUCUCCAGUAGCAAGAAAGGCCUCGGAUGCCCUUUCCCAAACCUCCCCCAGCCGCGCUGCUUUCCUGAGACCCGAGCCAUCCGAUCUCGUCAGAGCCUCUCAAGCUUCCCGGGUUGUAAUUUCUCCACAUAGCCACAUGUCCUUCCUUAAAUAAAACCCACGUACUGGCCCCUUUCCAGACUGCCGGAUCUCCAGAGAUCCUGCCUGCUCUCACGAAGAGGCAUUGAGAAGGAAGCAGAGCCCCAGACCUGAUUUGAGGUGAGAUGGAGGAUGCUCCGUUAACCAGCCCCACGGGCCAGCAGCAUCCUGCCUCGCCAGCCAGGAAACCUCCUGAGGGGUACAGCAGCUGCCAAAUAAAUGCCUGCCUGCAGCCGCCAAGAGACCGCAGGUGAAUAAACAUCCCUCUCCAUCAUUAGCAAGGAAGAUGAGGGCAGGGAGAGGAGGGAGACAGAUUGCACCAGGGCUGGGGAUGCUCGGAGGGAAUGUCACCAUUGCCAUAAAGCUUUGAAAAGCACUGGCUUUUGCAUGCGUUUGCAGCUGCGGAUGGGCCCUUUUUGGUGCUAAACCUGCACCCCAACUCUGGGGGAAAGCCACUCUGGGGCUUGCUGGGCAUCGAAUCUAUGGCAUCCCAGAGCACAGUGGUGCCCACAGAGGCAGGGCUCGAGGGGGGGGGGGGGGGGGGGGGGGGGCUGAUGUGACCCUGCCGCAGAGACUUUGUGACAGGUUUGCAAAAAGUUUGCACAGGUUUUGUGUCUCUACCUGCAUCGUGCCCUAUUACUUCGGAUUUGGGGCGGCUGUCCUCCGGCUCAGUGGGGCCACGCAGUGGGGUGUCGCAGGAAGCAGCCACCCAUCGCCCACCCGUAGCCCACCGUGCCCUGGGGGUGCGGCCGGGGGGGUGCUGGGUGUGGGGGGGUGUUUUGUCUGGAGCCGGUGGGUGGCACUACGGCCCCGUUCCGCGGGCACUGACACCGGAUCCCCGGGACAGCCCCGAAGGCAGCAGCGGCCCCGCAGCCGCCCUCUGGCAAGCUCGGCUGGGGACCCCGGGCUCCAGCACCAAGGGACCCUACAGGCAGGAAGUUCUGGAGCUGCUGGCUGAAAUAAAGCCACCUGCAGAAGCCCA